rnacentral:rRNA from 1 species
GACGAACGCUGGCGGCGUGCUUAACACAUGCAAGUCGAACGAUGAACCCGGAGCUUGCUCCGGUGGAUUAGUGGCGAACGGGUGAGUAACACGUGAGUAACCUGCUCUUGACUCUGGGAUAACUGCGGGAAACUGUAGCUAAUACCGGAUACGACCCUCGGCGGCAUUGCCAGGGGGUGGAAAGAAUCUCGGUCAAGGAUGGCCUCGCGGCCUAUCAGCCAGUUGGUGAGGCAACGGCUCACCAAGGCGCCGACGGGGAGCCGGCCAGAGAGGGUGACCGACCACACUGGGACUGAGACACGGACCAGACUCCUACGGGAGGGAGCAGGGGGGAGUAUUGCACAACGGGCGCGAGGCUGCUGCAGCAACGCCGCGUGAGGGAUGACGGCCUUCGGGUUGUAAACCACUUUUAGUAGGGAAGAAGCGAAAGUGACGUUACCUGCGGAAAAAGCCCCGGCUAACUACGUGCCAGCCGCCGCCGUAA